rnacentral:rRNA from 1 species
UUUAGACCGUUGCGAGACAGGUUGGUUUCUAUCUAUUGGCGCUGUUGGAUGUCUGAGACUAAGGGGGUGCCGGUACGAGAGGAACGCACUGCCGCGACCUAUGGUGUAUCCGUUGUCUGACAAGGCAAUGCGGAGUAGCUAAGUCGUAAAUGAUAAACGCUGAAUGCAUCUAAGCGUGAAGCAGAAGUUAAAAAUAGACAUCCACUUGCUAGACGAUCUCAUUGUGAGACGAUGGGACUGGUGACAGUAACGUCGAGUCUAGGAACGAGGACUCUCGUAGAAGACGAGGUUAAUAGGCAGGGGGUGUAAGUACCAAGCUCCGGCGAGGUAUUCAGCUCACCUGUACUAAUGUCC